UGGGGAAUAUUGGACAAUGGGGGCAACCCUGAUCCAGCCAUGCCGCGUGAGUGAUGAAGGCCUUCGGGUUGUAAAGCUCUUUUGGCGGGGACGAUGAUGACGGUACCCGCAGAAUAAGCCCCGGCUAACUUCGUGCCAGCAGCCGCGGUAAGACGAAGGGGGCUAGCGUUGUUCGGAAUUACUGGGCGUAAAGCGAGUGUAGGCGGUUGCCGUAGUCAGGUGUGAAAGCCUUGAGCUCAACUCAAGAAAUGCACUUGAUACUGGGUGACUAGAGGACCGGAGAGGAUAGUGGAAUUCCCAGUGUAGUGGUGAAAUACGUAGAGAUUGGGAAGAACACCAGUGGCGAAGGCGGCUAUCUGGACGGUUACUGACGCUAAGACUCGAAAGCGUGGGGAGCAAAACAGGAUUAGAUACCCUGGUAGUCCACGCCGUAAACGAUGGGUGCUAGACGUUGGCGAGCUUGCUCGUCAGUGUCGCAGCU
rnacentral:rRNA from 1 species